UGGAGUGGGAAAUUCGACGGUGGAUGGCGGCGAACCUUUUGAUGGCGGUGGACGUUGGAUGAACAGGGCAGUGAACGGCCGAGAGGUUGGACCCAAGUUUCGAUUUCAGUGAGCCCGUGGAUAUUGAUGCUGAGAAUAAGCUCUGUUGUCGACAGUCGAUGGCGGCGAACCGUUGAUGGCGGCGAACCGUUGAUGGCGGCGGACGAUGGAUGCACUUGGCAGUGAACGACGGAAAGGUUGGAGGCAACUUCAAAUUUCAGUGAUUUUGAUUUUAAGGAAUUAGGGAUUUCAUUUAAGACUGGGAUUUUGG
rnacentral:lncRNA from 1 species